CCAGGCCUUCUGCUGAGACCAGGCAGACAGGGAAGAGACAGAAGGAGAAACUGCCAGGGCCCCAGCUGUACACGGAAGCUUUUCUGAAGUAGCUGGAGCUGAGAAGAAGGGUAGUUGAGAAGCUCUGAAGACCUUUGGUUACGUGACGGAUGAAAAUAAUUAGACUCAAAGAAUUCCGUUUUCAGAAAUGAGAAGAAUGCGAAGAGCAGUUCACCUUUCUGGAAGUCUCUUCUGAGAACCGCCGUCCACGUGCCGUCUUGGAUUCAUAAGGAAAGGACUGCAUUGGGCGGCUGCAGUGAGUUCUCAUACGCUCGUGAUGCCACAGCAGGACCUGCUGGGAUUAGGGUGAAAAGGCCCUGAAAAGCCUUUGUUACUUGCCUAUUUAUAAAGGACUGGCUUUAUAACUUGUUAAUAAGUCACAUCCCGCUUGUCCUGGCGCUUUUAUCAAGGGCGUUUAUCUCUGCUUAUAUUCAUUUGUGUCGCUGGAUAAUUGUUGAGCUUGACUCAUCAGGGCCUAUGGGUUCAUGGGUAAUUAGGGCCUGGACGAUAGGUCCCUCAAGCCACUUAGCUACGGAAGCCUUGUGGCUGCAGACGGAUAAUAGAAUCUCUUUGUUUUUACAAAAUGGUCAUAAAUCAUUUGACUCUGUACGAAGCCUUCAAUCAGUAGCCCCCCACCCACGCACCUAGCAGAGCAGUUGGGAGUUUUACUACUUACAGAGAGGAAAGGUCCUUCCAGAAUGUUAGAACAAAGGCGAGAUGUCACUUCCGACCCUAAAUGCACAUGUAGAUUUCACUGGGAAGACUCCUCCCUCCCCGUGUGGUUUCCGUUCUCUUGCUGGUUCGGGGUCCACACAAGCUCUUCCCAGCAGGGAGACGCGGUAGCAGGGGGCCCAGCUCCAUCUGGAGGGACGGGCAGGGCACGCAGCUGGAGUGGACAAGAUUUUAAAAAUACAAGUUUCAGCGUUCAUAAAUUCUCUCCUCUGCUGAUAAGUACUUUUGAAAAUGUAAACCGCAGACGCAUUCUUUUAGGACAUUUUCCAGCAGGUACUCACUGUAUAAAGUCUUCUUGACUGCCCCUGGCCCCCUUUGAAGCCCAAGGCUGAUUUCCAACAUCUACAGUCUCUACAGGACCCUAUAAUUACCGAGGCAAUGAGCGUCAGUCCCCGGUGGUCUGCGGAAUCCAGCCCUCUCAGGCAAGGAAAGGCAUCCCUUUGCUAAUUGGAUCCUGGUUUUUUCCUCCUUUAAAAUCAGCACGUGCGAUAUGAUGGGUCACACGUGUGAUGAUGUGACGUGAUCACAUGAGGGGUAAUGAGAAAGCAGUUCUGCUCUAAGACGAUGUGUCACUUCAUCUCCUCCACCCCCUCCCCCAUCACAUUGUUGAAAAUGACAGCAAUGAGAAUGAUUACAACAGCAAUGAAGACAGCCAGCAUUUGUUAAACCUUGAUUGUGUAUCAGACACCCUGCCGAGUGUACAGCCUUCAUUGUCUCCUCUAAUCCUCAGGACGACCUACGAGCCAGGCACCAUUAGUAUGUUUACCCUAUUUUACAGAUGGCCCUGGAGCGGCUAAGAUACUUGACUUUGGGGUCAAGCAUUGAACCCGUUCUUCUCUUGCUUUUAAAAUGUAUUCAUCUGUUCUUUUAACAAAGAUGUAUUGAGCACCUUCUGUGUCCCAGGCCCUGUUUUAGCCUUAAUACGCUCUUGGGAAAGAUGUAAUGAGCUCAGCAAACCCCUUUGUUGUUAGAGAAGAAAGGCGGUUUUGUAAGAGCGGUGGAAUUCAGAGGAAAACGAGGGAACUAACCUCAACGUUUACUGCCUUCCUACUUCUGCCGCAAGCGACAGUACUAAGAGCCUCAUCUCACAGGUGUGUGUCUGUCAUCCUCACCUUUUCACCUGGGUGGGGAGACUGUUAUCUGGGGAAUGUGAAACGCUCUUCCUCCCGGCUUUCUGCGAAGUCUGCUGGGGAGUUUAGGGCCCAGAAAGGUCGGGGGAGUGUCCAGGUCUGAGAAAACUCACUGAUGAACUUAGUAUCCUGGUAUCUCUGUCUGAAAGGACCCCAGAGGCCCUUGCGUCCAGCCCUUAAACCAGGCAAGAUCCCCCCUUGAUAAGGGGUCAGAGCACCUCCGUUUGCAUACUUUCUGGGGAGCUCUCCCUCAUGAGGCAGCCCAUUCCGGCACUGAAGGCUGUUCUUCAUCCUACUGAGCUGACACCUUUCUCCUCAUCACCUGCGCUCGCUGGUCCCAGCUCUGCGCUCUGAUGGCGUGCCCAGCUCGCUGGUCCCAGCUCUGCGCUCUGAUGGCGUGCCCAGCUCAUCUAGCUCCUGCCUCACAGGAAUGUAGUGCCCUUAAGUGUCUAACCUCAGAGAUCUCAUCCCCACUAAGACCUUCUUGCCGCCUCAGCCUUCUCUUAUGCGCUAUGAUUCCUAAAGCCUUCAGCCUCUUAGCCGGAACGAGAGAAAUUGGAAAUAAAUGGGCUGAACUAACUCAAGGCUCCCUGGGAAGAACUAUUAAUCAACACACACUUAAGUGACAAGAGGCAGUGAAGGAGGUGCAGGGGGGGCAGCCCCUCUGGCCAUGAAAACAAGGACAAAGGGUCUUCAGAGUCAAGAGGUCUCUGAGGUCAGGGCUCAUCUGGCUGGUACUUGAGCCCCUGAAUAAUGCGUAGGGCACUCAAAGUCGUUUCUAGAAGGCCAGGCUACAGAGUCUGAUCUACUAGGAUUGGGAAGCAAACCUAAUGUUUCUAAGAGCAUCCUUGCUCCUGAAGUUUAUGCAGCUGUCUCUGGGGGAGUUUUAUUUACAGGAGGAAGGGGACGACGGGUGGAGUUAAAGCUACGGAUGCGCUAAACCCUCUUGGAAACGACAGCUACUGUGAACCCCAGUUCCUUCACCCGCAUAAACAUGUUCCCGAUCUUUUGUAAAGAACUGAAAUUGAGAAAAGGCCACCCGGGGCACCAUAAUAACGCCCACUCCACCCAAUGACGUCAUGGACUCUAAGAAAAUGGAAUGAAAUUAAUUGACGUUUCUGGCCCUACCUUACCUGUGCCAUGUGCUGUGAUGGAGGGACAUGUGUCAGCUCGUCUGCCUGUGGUCAGUGCCACGGGGACCCUCUCGGGAUGGUGACGGUAGGUGGCUGAGUCCCGACCCUCAGAGAAGGGCUCAGAGUGGCCAUCAGUCUUCGGAGGAGCACCUUGCAGUGAUUCUGUGCAGACGGAAGGAAGUUAUGUACGAGAAUCAUCAAGAAACCCACGUCAGGAACCUUCUACCGGGGCUGAAGUGAGAGAGUCAUGUCUUCAGGCCGGCAGCAGUGGGAUAAAGCUGUGAACCAGUCCUUAGUCUUAGACCCCAUCUGUCCACAGCAGAGAGCGCAAGAGUGACACGGGGGGGCUGUAAGGCAUGUACAGGAAGGUUUGGGUCUCAAGCAAAGUGGGUCCUACGCUCUGCUCUCCCCAGGCCUACGGAAGGGGAAUGACAGAUCUCGGGGAGUCAGUUGGCAGAGGGGUCCUGGGUCUCAACCUCUCCUGGACCCAGCUCUGGGAAAGGGACGAGAUCCCCAAGUGGAAUGAGCCCUAUGAGAGCCUCCCAGGAUGCCCACGCAGGUCGUGGAAGAAGCUGGAAGAGACCUGGGCCUGAAGAGGUGGCAGCUACCUGUGCGCUGAGACCACACCUGGAUCUCUGGGGUUGUGGACCAGCCCCGUCCCCAGCACCUUGGCUGUGUGGAGGUCAACCCUCCUCCAACAAGGAAAGGAGCCAAAUGACCUCAGUUGCCUCAGCCUCUCCGCAGAGUGGCUGUGACCCGAGGCUGUCGCUGCUGUGCUCACUGCUUUGGUGUCUGAGCCUGAAUUGGAACAAAGGGACAGAUCACUCCCGUGGUCUCCCACGGUCCUGGCCUGAGCCUGCGGUGCUUUUAUGAAGAUGCCCUAAGUCUUUCUCCAAGGCUUCUGGGAAACAAGCCUUACGGAUGUGGCCGAUUGCCAGGCCUGUUCUCUGUCCAUCUAAAUUAUGAUGGCAGAGAAGAUAAAAAUACAAAGACCAAAAAGUCAUUUUUCUCCCCCCAAAACACCACAAUUCUUUGAGCCUUU